AAACUCUUUCAACAUUUUUUUCUACGAAAAGGGGAUUCGAAGUUACAAUUUCAAUUUUUUUAAGAAUAGAAAAGAGCGAUAAAAAGGAACAAUCAAAUUCAUAAAAGCUGGACAACAUAAACCGGGGAUGAUCUCAAGUGUUCCAGAAUGGUAAUCAGAUCCUGCUCCACAUAUGACAUGUAAUGCAAAAGUCGUACUUUGACGGAAACCACAAUGCUUCGGAA
rnacentral:lncRNA from 1 species